AGGCGGAAUGCGUGGUGUAGCGGUGAAAUGCAUAGAGAUCACGCAGAACUCCGAUUGCGAAGGCAGCUUACUAAGGUAUAACUGACACUGAAGCACGAAAGCGUGGGUAUCAAACAGGAUUAGAUACCCUGGUAGUCCACGCAGUAAACGAUGAUUACUAGGAGUUUGCGAUAUAGUGUAAGCUCUACAGCGAAAGCGUUAAGUAAUCCACCUGGGGAGUACGCCGGCAACGGUGAAACUCAAAGGAAUUGACGGGGGCCCGCACAAGCGGAGGAACAUGUGGUUUAAUUCGAUGAUACGCGAGGAACCUUACCCGGGAUUGAAAUGUAGACGACGGAGAGUGAGAGCUUUCUUCCCUUCGGGGCGUCUAUGUAGGUGCUGCAUGGUUGUCGUCAGCUCGUGCCGUGAGGUGUCGGCUUAAGUGCCAUAACGAGCGCAACCCUGACUGUCAGUUGCUAACAGGUAAAGCUGAGGGCUCUGGCGGGACUGCCGGCGUAAGCUGUGAGGAAGGUUGGGAUGACGUCAAAUCAGCACGGCCCUUACAUCCGGGGCGACACACGUGUUACAAUGGCAGGGACAAAGGGCAGCUACCGGGCGACCGGAUGCCAAUCUCCAAACCCUGUCUCAGUUCGGAUCGGAGUCUGCAACUCGACUCCGUGAAGCUGGAUUCGCUAGUAAUCGCGCAUCAGCCAUGGCGCGGUGAAUACGUUCCCGGGCCUUGUACACACCGCCCGUCAAGCCAUGGGAGCCGGGGGUACCUGAAGUCCGUAACCGCGAGGAUCGGCCUAGGGUAAAGCUGUGACUGGGGCUAAGUCGUAACAAGGUAGCCG
rnacentral:rRNA from 1 species